CACUUAAAUGUUCCCUUCAUAUUGGCGUAAAGCCCCCUUCAACCUGUCUAUCAUGUACCUUUACAAUGAAUAGGAAAGUUGUCAAAUGUAAUUUUUCUUCCUGCUGUGUUUGUGACCUAAACCUGAUCUCAUAAACCCCUCUUUUCAUAAACACAAACUCCGAUCCACGUCUGUAAAGCACGCAGCUCUCUGCUUUUCUACGUAGAUCUUCAGUUUUAGGUUUUUAGUUUGUAGGUUUAUUAAAGGGGGACCGCAAGCCGGGUUGGAC